rnacentral:rRNA from 1 species
AACGAACGCUGGCGGCGCGCCUAAUACAUGCAAGUCGAGCGAGAAGACGUAGCAAUACGUUUGUAAAGCGGCGAACGGGUGAGGAAUACAUGGGUAACCUACCCUCGAGUGGGGAAUAACUAGCCGAAAGGUUAGCUAAUACCGCGUACGCUCCUUGGACUUCGGUUCAGGGAGGAAAGCGAUACCGUGGGUAUCGCGCUCUUGGAUGGGCUCAUGUCCUAUCAGCUUGUUGGUGAGGAACGGCUCACCAAGGCUUCGACGGGUAGCUGGUCUGAGAGGACGAUCAGCCACACUGGCACUGCGACACGGGCCAGACUCCUACGGGAGCAGCAGUAAGGAAUAUUGCGCAAUGGGCGAAAGCCUGACGCAGCGACGCCGCGUGGGGGAUGAAGGUCUUCGGAUUGUAAACCCCUUUCGGGAGGGAAGAUGGAACGAGCAAUCGUUCGGACGGUACCUCCAGAAGCAGCCACGGCUAACUUCGUGCCAGCCGCCGCAGU